UCGCCCGCCGCGCGCGGCGGGCGGGGCGGGGGCACGGGGGGCCUACGGGAGGCAGCAGUGAGGAAUUUUCCGCAAUGGGCGAAAGCCUGACGGAGCAACGCCGCGUGAGGGAUGAAGGCCUCUGGGCUGUAAACCUCUUUUAUCAAGGAAGAAGAUCUGACGGUACUUGAUGAAUAAGCCACGGCUAAUUCCGUGCCAGCAGCCGCGGUAAUA
rnacentral:rRNA from 1 species